CUCCCUCCUGAACCAACUCCCCGUGAACGAGUGUGUCACCCUUGGAUCCUACCAGCCACUGGCCAGCCAUUAGUUGUCUAGCGCACACGCAGCAUUUAAGAUUUCGAAUUCUUCUGAAAUGUAGUUUCUGCAGGAAGCACCACCCAUAAAUAAAAAGGGCUGUUUCCCUUUACAACAUGUGAGAAAACAUUGCACCCUCCUGCCUGUUCAGUGAGAGGCUGUGUUCGUUCUCACCGAGGGCCUCCUGUCACCAUAGCCCUUACACAGGCCCAGCGAGCAUGUGUGAACUCCACCCCCUGGCUACCAAACGAAUGCCUUCUUCACUUCCCACCCCAGCAGUAAGCUCCCUGAGGCCUUCCUGCCCGCACCCCAGCGAGAAAUGACCAUUCCCCCCAUCCUGCCAGGAAGUGAGGUGAACAAGUGGACUUCUUGCCCCACACACUACCACACGGUUGGUGAUCCGCCCCCCUCUGCCAACCCCAGGGACCUUCUCAAGGGUGAUUUGGCCCCUUAUCUCCUUGCAUAUCUAGCACCUUUCUGCACAUAGUAGAUAUUUACUAAAUAACUGAGUUGAUCCUCAUUCUGGGCAGCAAAGUCACUUGACCUGCGUGUUCUCUCUAGCUUUGUUGAAACUGCUGAAACCAGAGGGGAGUAGCCAAAAGUAGGUAAUAAAAUACAAGCUGGGCCCUGGAGAUACCCUGAAUGUGGGGUGGCCACACAAAGAUAAAAUGUCAAGAGUAUUCUCCAGGUCAGAUGACCCUACAUAGCUGAUUGCAUCUUUACCAAUGAGAGCAUUUGAAGGGUGAGGCAGUACCCGAGGGAGGGGAGGUAAGAAGGUGAGAAGAGAGAA